rnacentral:rRNA from 1 species
CCAUUAGCUAGUUGGUAAGGUAACGGCUUACCAAGGCAACGAUGGUUAGGUGGUCUGAGAGGACGAUCACCCACACUGGGACUGAGACACUGCCCAGACUCCUACGGGAGGCUGCAGUCGAGAAUCUUCCGCAAUGCGCGAAAGCGUGACGGAGCAAUGCAGAGUGUGUGAUGAAGGUCUUCGGAUUGUAAAGCACUGUCAACAGGGACGAAUAAAAUGACGGUACCUGUAGAGGAAGCACCGGCUAAAUACGUGCCAGCAGCCGCGGUAAUACGUAUGGUGCAAGCGUUAUUCGGAUUUAUUGGGCGUAAAGGGUUCGUAGGUGGUUUAUUAAGUCAGAUGUGAAAUCCAACGGCUCAACCGUUGAACUGCAUUUGAAACUGAUAAACUAGAGUAUUGGAGAGGUAAGUGGAAUUUCAGGUGUAGCGGUGGAAUGCGUAGAUAUCUGAAGGAACACCAAUAGCGAAAGCAGCUUACUGGA